rnacentral:rRNA from 1 species
AACGAACGCUGGCGGCAUGCCUAACACAUGCAAGUCGAACGAGACCUUCCGGUCUUUUUGCGCACGUCUGCGUACCGCGUGGUAACCUGCCCUUAGGUUCGGAAUACCUCCCCGAAAGGGGUGCUAAUACCGGAUAAUGUCUUCCGACCAAAGAUUUAUCGCCUUUGGAUGGGCCCGCGUUGGAUUAGCUAGUUGGUAGGGUAAAAGCCUACCAAGGCGACGAUCCAUAGCUGGUCUGUGAGGAUGAUCAGCCACACUGGGAAUGAGGCACGGACCAGACUGCUACGGGGGGGAGCAGAGGGGAAUAUUAGAGGAGGGGGGAAAGUCUGACACAGCAAUGCCGGGGGAGAGGUGAAGGGCUUAGGGUUGUAAAGCCGUUUUAGCCGGGAUGAUAAUGACAGUACCGGGAGAAUAAGCACCGGCUAACUCCGUG